UNUCAUGUUGGAGCUAUCCUACUCUGUG
rnacentral:piRNA from 1 species